rnacentral:rRNA from 1 species
AUCCGGGUUGCGGACAGUGUCUGGUGGGUAGUUUGACUGGGGCGGUCUCCUCCUAAAGAGUAACGGAGGAGCACGAAGGUUGGCUAAUCUUGGUCGGACAUCAGGAGGUUAGUGCAAUGGCAUAAGCCAGCUUGACUGCGAGCGUGACGGCGCGAGCAGGUGCGAAAGCAGGUCAUAGUGAUCCGGUGGUUCUGAAUGGAAGGGCCAUCGCUCAACGGAUAAAAGGUACUCCGGGGAUAACAGGCUGAUACCGCCCAAGAGUUCAUAUCGACGGCGGUGUUUGGCACCUCGAUGUCGGCUCAUCACAUCCUGGGGCUGAAGUAGGUCCCAAGGGUAUGGCUGUUCGCCAUUUAAAGUGGUACGCGAGCUGGGUUUAGAACGUCGUGAGACAGUUCGGUCCCUAUCUGCCGUGGGCGCUGGAGAAUUGAGGGGGGCUGCUCCUAGUACGAGAGGACCGGAGUGGACGCAUCACUGGUGUUCGGGUUGUCAUGCCAAUGGCACUGCCCGGUAGCUAAAUGCGGAAGAGAUAAGUGCUGAAAGCAUCUAAGCACGAAACUUGCCCCGAGAUGAGUUCUCCCUGACUCCUUGAGAGUCCUGAAGGAACGUUGAAGACGACGACGUUGAUAGGCCGGGUGUGUAAGCGCAGCGAUGCGUUGAGCUAACCGGUACUAAUGAACCGUGAGGCUUAACCUUACAACGCCGAAG